rnacentral:rRNA from 1 species
GAAUCUGGCUUUAGGUCUGGGACAACCACUGGAAACGGUGGCUAAUACCGGAUGUGCCGAAAGGUGAAAGGUUAACUGCCUGAAGAUGAGCUCGCGUCUGAUUAGCUAGUAGGUGUGGUAAAGGCGCACCUAGGCGACGAUCAGUAGCUGGUCUGAGAGGACGAUCAGCCACACUGGGACUGAGACACGGCCCAGACUCCUACGGGAGGCAGCAGUGGGGAAUUUUCCGCAAUGGGCGAAAGCCUGACGGAGCAAUACCGCGUGAGGGAGGAAGGCUCUUGGGUCGUAAACCUCUUUUCUCAGGGAAGAACACAAUGACGGUACCUGAGGAAUAAGCAUCGGCUAACUCCGUGCCAGCAGCCGCGGUAAUACGGAGGAUGCAAGCGUUAUCCGGAAUGAUUGGGCGUAAAGCGUCCGCAGGUGGCGAUGUAAGUCUGCUGUUAAAGAGUCUAGCUCAACUAGAUAAGAGCAGUGGAAACUACAUAGCUAGAGUACGUUCGGGGCAGAGGGAAUUCCUGGUGUAGCGGUGAAAUGCGUAGAGAUCAGGAAGAACACCAGUGGCGAAGGCGCUCUGCUAGGCCGUAACU